UCACACGGCGCGGAGGGCUCUCCUGGUGUCACUCAAGGCAGCCCUGUCUGCACCAUGUCCGUGGCAGCUCCAGGGUCCGCCGGGUCAGAGCGCCGAUCCUCAACACCACAGAGAUUCCAGGAGAUUUCCUCUGCCUUCUCUGCCUCUAUCUUUCAGCGAGACAGACUUAACAAAAGAGACUCAGCAGCUAAUGGAAGAAGUUCAGGAGGGUCAGAUGGCACUGGCGUCCACCCAGGCCACAAAAGAGACCAGCAGGGAGACUGGAAUGCCAUCAGACAGAGCUUCAGCGAGAUGGCAGCAGGCAGGGUAAGUCUACGCCCUCAGGCAAAAGUCACCAGUCAGCAGUACACAGCACUUGCACAUGCAUAUCAGUUUGACUUUCAAUUUCCUGAAGAUGUCAGAUUGCUCUGUUAUAAUUUCUGACGGAAAGCAGCAGGAAGCCUUGGCCCCUAGCAUCCAUCGCGGAGAAGUGGCCCAGCUCCACUGGGAGAAGUGGUGGAAUUGCGGUAUCGGCAAAGCCUGCCUGAGUUUCCCCUCUUCAUCCGUUCAUAGGUGUUCAGAGCAUGUUUUACUCUUUAUCCAUGCCUUUUCUCCCAUUCAAAUAACACACAAAAUAUGGCACAUAAAGUAUAGUUCAGUUGCUUUGAGUGAGACACAAGGCACUCAAACCCCAGCCAAGAGUCAUCUUUUUUGUUUUCCAUUUGAAUUCCACAUUUCGGCGUCUGCGAGAGCACAGCGCUGAGCCGCAGUGACACUACAGGGCUGGGCGGUCUCUGCAGAGUUUGCGCACAUGUAGAAUUUAUUGCCUGUGGGAAGGCACUUCCUAAUAAUGUUCUGCUACCAACGUUCACUCACGCACUCAGUCAUUCGAUUUCCACAGCCAUCAGCCGGUGUCACUCUUCCGCUUAUUGCAACCAGAUGCAGCUAUUUGAGAGGAAUGGAGGAGAAUUGCUUGCGGGAAAGAAGAAAAAAAAAACUAAACUAAAAGUAGUUUAUGUACAUGGAAGGAUAGAUAGAGGGCUAUGUGGAUGGUAUGAGGGUUAAUUAUCAGCCAUAGCACAAACACAGUGGUCUCAUGAACAGAGUGGGGGUGGGGAAGAGAUGAUGGCAGAUCGUCUCCUGCUCGCUCCCCUCCUGAGCAAUAUGACCCAGAGAUUGAGGGGAAGGAGAAGUAACUUGAGCAGGGAGUGUUAUUUCCAUCAGCUGUAAAUCGUGUAGACCUCUAUUGAAUCUGAAGGGGUUGCCAUUACAUGUCAUGACGGUCCUGAUGUCUUGGUAGGGGAGCAGAGUGUCCAUCGCCUUCAGCUCCCCGGCAAGUGGCGUGGCGACAGCUAUCUCCGGGGGUAAUGGUUUGCGACAGGAUUGCACUCCCUCCAGAUCCUUUACCCGCCCACGACCCCAGGGCCAGCCAGUGGUCGAGGGCCGUACACAGGGCUCCCAGGGCAAACCAGAGCGGCCGCGCGACGACAUCCGAGCCCAGAUAGCAAAGAUUGAGCAGUUUUUGAGCUCAGAAGGGGUAAGCCUUCCCAAGAAGUCCAAAAUGGAGACAAGAGAAGAUGUUGAGCUAUGAGAGAGAAAAACUUAAACAGCUCUGUUGCUUUCAAAUACAUAUGUUCUAGAACAGUCAAAGAUAGGAACAUGGCUAGUUUUGUUUUGAAAAGUCAGUAACUUUUAGAAAAGAGAGAGACAAAUUGACUAUUUAGGAUGAUAUUGUUAUGAUAUUGUUUAAUGUUAUUUAUUUAUGAUUUCAUUUUUAAUAAUAUUUAUUCAGAUGACUAGUUCUGUGUUGUUCCUUAAAAUGGCUGUUUUAUUGUCUAUUUUAGCUAUAAACAAACUAUUUCUGUAUUACUGCUGUCUUAAAGCUAAUUUAAGUCCUCUACCUUUAUCUUAAUACUUCUUGAAAUAAAACAACUUUCUUAUAAUGUGAAUUAGUUGUAUUGCAUAACACUGUAUCUGGAUGAAAUACGUCCUUGACGUUGGUGUAUUUGUAUCCUGUUGCUCCUCUGUGAAGUAAUCAGACUGUUGGCAACAGCCGCUAGUUGUCCUAUGUGAUGUAAUUAACACUAAUUACAAUCAGGACAGUGCCAGGGCCACUCGAACAUUUAAUGGCCACAACAUUCAUUUGCAUGUGCAGCACUCAUCCCAUGGCUAACUUGGCCUAAUUAGAAUACACAAGUAACAAGAAUCAAUUAGCACACAUUAUCCUAAAUUAACGAAUGCAAAUGAAGCUCUCAUUAAGUUUAUGUUCUGAGCGAGGAGGCUGUGUAGACCAUAUGGACACAUGUUAGGGCGACACAGUUGACAACUUGUGCUGCGUGUCACGGCUGCUGGCCGAAAUGAACAAGUAGCUAGUUUAUGUGGCACCACAGCCGGUAGUCCUGAGGGAAUG
ensembl:lncRNA